UAGUCAACCACCCCUCCACCAUCAUACCUAGAAAUCUAUCCUGAUAUUCAAAAUAGCCCUUCACAAUUUCCUCCUUUGGACAUUGAUCCCGAAAUUGAUGAACCAACUGAUAACAGGCCUCGUGAGCUGGAUAGUUCUAUACUAGCGACAUUUGCCGGCAGUUUCAGUUAUAGAGAAGACGACAUUUCUGAUUGGAAUUCCAUAACAUCGAUUGCAUCGUUUCCAGGGGAACAACAAGACACACCCACACCUAGAAUCCAAGGGGAAAGUAGUGUUUCUGUAGAAAGAGAUAUUGAGCAAAAUAUUGCCAAUGAGGCCGAGCACUUGUUUAAUGUAAGCCGACAUUUCAAUACAAGAAGAGGAACUGAAAACUCUAUCCGUCCUAUCACGUGCUGAUCUAUUCUAAUACAAGAAGAGGAACUGAAAACUCUAUCCGUCCUAUCACUUGCUGAUCUAUUCUAAUACAAGAAGAGGAACUAAAAACUCUAUCCGUCCUAUCACUUGCAUGAUCUAUUUCAAUACAAGAAGAGGAACUGAAAACUCUAUCCGUCCUAUCACGUGAUGAUCUUUUUUAAUACAAGAAGUGGAACUGAAAACUCUAUCCGUCCUAUCACUUGCUGAUCUAUUCUAAUACAAAAAGAGAAACUGAAAACUCUAUCCGUCUUAUCACUUGCUGAUCUAUUCUAUUACAAGAACAGGAACUGAAAACUCUAUCCGUCCUAUAACUUGCUGAUCUAUUCUAAUACAAGAAGAGGAACUGAAAACUCUAUCCGUCCUAUCACUUGCUGAUCUAUUCUAAUAAAAGAAGAGAAACUGAAAACUCUAUCCGUCCUAUCACUUUCUGAUCCAUUCUAAUGCAAGAACAGGAACUGAAAACUCUAUCCGUCCUAUCACUUGCUGAUCUAUUCUAAUACAAGAACAGGAACUGAAAACUCUAUUCUUCUUAUCACUUGCUGAUCUUUUCUAAUACAAGAACAGGAACUGAUAACUCUAUCCGUCCUAUCACUUGCUGAUUUAUUUCAAUACAAGAAGAGGAACUGAAAACUCUAUCCGUCCUAUCACGUGAUGAUCUUUUUUAAUACAAGAAGAGGAACUGAAAACUCUAUCUGUCCUAUCACUUGCUGAUCUAUUCUAAUACAAGAAGAGAAACUGAAAACUCUAUCCGUCUUAUCACUCGCUGAUCUAUUCUAAUACAAGAACAGGAACUGAAAACUCUAUCCGUCCUAUAACUUGCUGAUCUAUUCUAAUACAAGAACAGGAACUGAAAACUCUAUCCGUCCUAUCACUUACUGAUCUAUUCUAAUACAAAAAGAAGGACUGAAAACUCUGUCCGUCCUAUCACUUGCUGAUCUAUUCUAAUACCAGAACAGGAACUUAAUACUCUAUCCGUCGUUUCACUUGCUGAUCUAUUCUAAUACAAGAACAGGAACUGAAAACUCUAUCCGUCCUAUCACUUGCUGAUCUAUUCUAAUACAAGAAGAAGGACUGAAAACUCUAUCCGUCCUAUCACUUGCUGAUCUAUUCUAAUACAAUAAGAAGGACUGAAAACUCUAACCUUCCUAUCACUUGCUGAUCUAUUUUAAUACAAGAAGUGGAACUGAAAACUCUUUCCGUCUUAACAUGCCAACAUACAGGUUUUACGACAACCUGUCCAUUGUUGCUCUGGGUAGCCUUGUCUUCUGUGGGGUGGGCGGAGCAGCCGUGUGGUUAGGCGUGGCAGCUUCAGGUGGUCUUGCUGCAGCUGGAGAUUCAUGGGAUCAGGAAAGUGGAUUGACCUGGUUAACUCUAUCUUCUGUUGGAACCCUGGUGAGCCUGGUUCUCCUGGUCUGGGCUUGUAUAGGGAAACAGUCCUACAGAUCUAGAUCUAGGUUAGAGUCUGACUCUAGGAGUUAUCAGGGUAGAAGGGUAUAGCAGUUAACAGUCCUACCGGGAUCUCUGGAGGAGGCGACUCAAGUAUAAAACACAAAGCAAAGUUUCACAUUAAACGAAUAAAGUCAAUCAAAGGAAUUGAGUCUUUGCCACAAACUUUGAGAUUCCAAUCCCUAUAUCUUAGCAACCCGAUUUGUUGUAGACCUUAGAUAUUUCAAACUAAUACUGUUAGAUCAAUCUAAGUUUUAAAUACCAAAGGUCUACACCAUGCAGGUUGACGAGAACCUGGCCAAAAAUGAAUCCGGUUUAGAAAUAGUGAACUUUCAAAAAAAAUGUUAGAGUUGAAACUGUUAAAAGUACCAGGUGCAGAUGUUUAGUUUUUUAAUUAAGUGAUGAUAUGAAGCUGUUCCCGCAUAUUCAUGGCUAUUUAUUUAUUUUCGCAAU